rnacentral:rRNA from 1 species
GACGAACGCUGGCGGCGUGCUUAACACAUGCAAGUCGAACGGUAAGGCCCCUUCGGGGGUACACGAGUGGCGAACGGGUGAGUAACACGUGAGCAACCUGCCCUUGACUCUGGAAUAACAGUUGGAAACAGCUGCUAAUACUGGAUAUUCAUCGUCUCCUUCCUGGGGGGUGGUGGAAAGCUCCGGCGGUCAGGGAUGGGCUCGCGGCCUAUCAGCUUGUUGGUGAGGUAAUGGCUCACCAAGGCUUCGACGGGUAGCCGGCCUGAGAGGGCGACCGGCCACACUGGGGCUGAGAUACGGCCCAGACUCCUACGGGAGGCAGCAGUGGGGAAUAUUGCACAAUGGGCGCAAGCCUGAUGCAGCAACGCCGCGUGCGGGAUGACGGCCUUCGGGUUGUAAACCGCUUUCAGUAGGGACGAAGGGUGACUGACGGUACCUACAGAAGAAGGACCGGCUAACUACGUG